GUGCUUGCUUGAGUAGCACACACACUAAAAUUGGAACGAUUAGCAUGGCCCCUGCGCAAGGAUGACACACAAAUUAGUAAAGUGUUCCAUAUUUUU
ensembl:snRNA U6 U6 spliceosomal RNA